rnacentral:rRNA from 1 species
UUUAUGGAGAGUUUGAUCCUGGCUCAGGAUGAACGCUGGCGGCGUGCCUAAUACAUGCAAGUCGAGCGAACGGACGAGAAGCUUGCUUCUCUGAUGUUAGCGGCGGACGGGUGAGUAACACGUGGAUAACCUACCUAUAAGACUGGGAUAACUUCGGGAAACCGGAGCUAAUACCGGAUAAUAUUUUGAACCGCAUGGUUCAAAAGUGAAAGACGGUCUUGCUGUCACUUAUAGAUGGAUCCGCGCUGCAUUAGCUAGUUGGUAAGGUAACGGCUUACCAAGGCAACGAUGCAUAGCCGACCUGAGAGGGUGAUCGGCCACACUGGAACUGAGACACGGUCCAGACUCCUACGGGAGGCAGCAGUAGGGAAUCUUCCGCAAUGGGCGAAAGCCUGACGGAGCAACGCCGCGUGAGUGAUGAAGGUCUUCGGAUCGUAAAACUCUGUUAUUAGGGAAGAACAUAUGUGUAAGUAACUGUGCACAUCUUGACGGUACCUAAUCAGAAAGCCACGGCUAACUACGUGCCAGCAGCCGCGGUAAUACGUAGGUGGCAAGCGUUAUCCGGAAUUAUUGGGCGUAAAGCGCGCGUAGGCGGUUUUUUAAGUCUGAUGUGAAAGCCCACGGCUCAACCGUGGAGGGUCAUUGGAAACUGGAAAACUUGAGUGCAGAAGAGGAAAGUGGAAUUCCAUGUGUAGCGGUGAAAUGCGCAGAGAUAUGGAGGAACACCAGUGGCGAAGGCGACUUUCUGGUCUGUAACUGACGCUGAUGUGCGAAAGCGUGGGGAUCAAACAGGAUUAGAUACCCUGGUAGUCCACGCCGUAAACGAUGAGUGCUAAGUGUUAGGGGGUUUCCGCCCCUUAGUGCUGCAGCUAACGCAUUAAGCACUCCGCCUGGGGAGUACGACCGCAAGGUUGAAACUCAAAGGAAUUGACGGGGACCCGCACAAGCGGUGGAGCAUGUGGUUUAAUUCGAAGCAACGCGAAGAACCUUACCAAAUCUUGACAUCCUUUGACAACUCUAGAGAUAGAGCCUUCCCCUUCGGGGGACAAAGUGACAGGUGGUGCAUGGUUGUCGUCAGCUCGUGUCGUGAGAUGUUGGGUUAAGUCCCGCAACGAGCGCAACCCUUAAGCUUAGUUGCCAUCAUUAAGUUGGGCACUCUAAGUUGACUGCCGGUGACAAACCGGAGGAAGGUGGGGAUGACGUCAAAUCAUCAUGCCCCUUAUGAUUUGGGCUACACACGUGCUACAAUGGACAAUACAAAGGGCAGCGAAACCGCGAGGUCAAGCAAAUCCCAUAAAGUUGUUCUCAGUUCGGAUAGUAGUCUGCAACUCGACUACAUGAAGCUGGAAUCGCUAGUAAUCGUAGAUCAGCAUGCUACGGUGAAUACGUUCCCGGGUCUUGUACACACCGCCCGUCACACCACGAGAGUUUGUAACACCCGAAGCCGGUGGAGUAACCUUUUAGGAGCUAGCCGUCGAAGGUGGGACAAAUGAUUGGGGUGAAGUCGUAACAAGGUAGCCGUAUCGGAAGGUGCGGCUGGAUCACCUCCUUUCU